CAGGAAUUGCUCACUCGGGGAGCUCGGCUCUUGAGACAGGAGUCCUGUCGAUGUUCCCGGCCGGCUGAAUAAACCUCUUCCUUCUUUAACUCGGUGUCAAGGAGUUUUGUCUGCAGCUUGUCCUGCUACAUUUCUUGGUUCCCUGACCGGGAAGCGAGGUGAAUGGCGGAUGGUGGAGACAGCUCCUUAGGCGGCUUAAACCUGCCCUGUGGAACAUCCCUGUGGGGGAUUCCAACCAGCCAGAGCGAGGCGGAGCCUGAGAGUGCUCCCGGAUCCAGAGAGCACUCCCGGUUAGGCAUUUGCCCUGGUGGGACGCCUCACCAAAGCAGUGUGUGGCAGGUCCCCUGGAGGAUCAACGCAGUGGCUGAACACCGGUAAGGAACGGAUACUUGGAGUCCGGACAUCUGAAACUUGUGUUUGCUGACACAAGAGUCCAGGAAGUACAGGAGGAAAAAGAAGGAGGACAGCAAUCAGUCACAGCUCCUUCCAGCAUUCACAGAGUGACUACCACUAAUUACACCUCUCAGACCUGUGUUUGAGCAGACCUAUUUUCUCUAUGAAUUAAUGCCAAGUGACCUACUUUUCCACAUAUUAUUCAUUAUUUGUUCUGCUGUUUUAUCGAUUUUGAGACUGUUUUGCUACACAGGAAUAAAAAAAUCCAAUACAAUAAAACUCCUCUCAUUGAAAAUAA